ensembl:lncRNA
GGAUGAAAGGGGCAAAGAACCCCGAACUAAGUUUUUAUAAGAGGCUGAAAGGAAAAACUGAGCGGAUACAGCCUUUGAGACAUCUGCAAGAAAAAUGGAAAAAAAUCUGUGGAGGAGAGGAAGUCACUGAACAAACUGUUAUUCAUCACCGAUAAUCCCGACCACCCUCUGCACCUCUUCCUGGACAGGCAGCACAACACUUUCUCUGACAGACUGAUUCAGGAAAUCUUUCAUACCACAAUCUAACAACCGCUAUGAUACAACACUCUAUCAUUCUGCCAGGGGAUCAUCUACCAGAUGUUAUGAAUACCUAUAUGUAUUAAACUUUUUACCAAAUAUGAGAUAAAUAAAGAAUUACGGGAGUCUUAGCUCUUGGAUGUCCACUCUAGUGAUGAGUGUUAGUUUCAUUUGAUCUUGUGUUUUGGUUCUUGCCUAUUAUUACUGGUAUUUCUAUUAGUUUUGCUAUUGUUUAUGCUUUGUGUUACCUAGUUAAAGGUUAGUAUUCAUAUCUGUUUUUAUGUCUUUUGGUUCUUUCCUGUUUUACUGUUUUAGUUUCCCGUUCUGUGUUACUUCCUAUGUGCCCUGCCUUGAUUCGCCGAUUAUUUCCACCAGUUGUUGGAUCCGUUCACCCAUGCCUCAUUUCCCUGCUGUAAAAUUAUCCCUUUUGUGUGUUUAGCCCUUUCUCACCUUUGCCCUUUGUUGUGUUGUCCAC